rnacentral:lncRNA from 1 species
CGGGGCGGCAAAACGUCCGCCCGGGCCCGAGGCGGGCGGAGGCAGCUGUGGUUACGUGCGGGGGGCCGGUGACGCAGUCGCGGGGCGCUGGGACGCGGCUUGCGGAGCCGGCCGGCGAGCGCAGGCCCCAGGCUCGGGCGCGGCGGCGGGACAGCACCUACCUUCCCGGCUUCGGGUCCGGGAGUGCGGGGCGCGGAGCCGCCGGAGCGCUGCCUCCCUCCUUCCUCCUCCCCUCGCCCCCGCCCCGCGGCGCGACACACAAUACUCGCCGGAAGCGGAAGCCGCGCCGAGGCUCGUGUCAGUGGAAGCUGGGGUGUCGGCGGGCGGCCGCGGCCGGGUCUAGCGGUGCCUGCGGAAGAAGGAGGAGGAGGGCUGGCGAUGAGAAGCAGCAGGGGGAAUCAAGGGCAAGAAGGGACCCAGAGGGGCAGGUGGCUGAGAUGCUGGCGUCCAGGUGACCCGAGGAAUCCUCUGGAGAUACAGGCCCGCGCAUGCGCGUGCUCGAGCGCUGAAGCCCAUUGCCCGCAGGGCGCUGGACUGGCGCCCCGGCCGGCGAGGCUGUCUAGUCCAGGCUCCAGGCCCCGGCUCUGGCCAGGCGCCGCCGCCUCCCGGUGCAGCUGAAAGUCGACGAAGAGGGCGGGGCGGGGGCGGCUUGUGGACUUCCACACUUUUCCUCUCUUCGGGCCAGUCUGGGGAGAGGGUGGCUAGCUGUGGCGGCGGCCAAUUACGUGGCGGACCUGCGGGGCUAAGCUGGCACGUCACUUCCGACUAGUGGAGUUUUUAGCCUUUUAACAUUCAAGGAUUAGAGCUCCCUCUUUGCCCACUAGCAGGGCAUUAGCUGGUGCUGAAGACAGUGGCUGCUUGGCGAGCCUGGAUCUCCAAGUGACCCCCUCAGCAACUCCUGAUGAACAGGACUGAAGCCAAUAUUAAAGCAAGUCAACCAAAGGUUCUCUGGUGUAGACAAGACAGCAAAAGGACAGACUACCUUGUGGAACCUAGCAUUGUUCUCCUUCUGCAGCACUAAGUAACAUUUGUUCUCCGUUAAGAUCUUUGCAAACCACACACAAGAAUUGCUGGUCAUCCUGCCAAUAGAUGCUGCUCACAGAACCAAAUUUCCUGUGCUGAAUUGUCACUCAUGGGCUUGAGAGUAGGAGACUGGAGACCAAGGUGGCUAGAAUCCAGUUGGGCCUGAUGUCUCCCUGUUGAAAGGGCUCCUUGUGGAAUGAAUAGCACAUGGCUCCUGUGGUGGAUCUGAUAGUGGCAUAGCACCAAGUGAUGCAGGCCUGCCAGGGGCCACAGACACAGAAGAUGCUCCCGGGGUCCCCCAUGUACUCCAGACACACUGCAGGCCACCUCUCCCAGCAGGUUGCCAGUCAUGGGCCCCAUCAUCAUGACUUCUGUCCAAGGUACUGUGUGCAGAAAUGUGAUUGAGAUUCAAGUCAGGGCCUCUCUGCCCUUUUCCCUCCAGAAACAAAACCAAGAUAAUUUAUCCUGAACACGGUGAAAAAAGGAAGGGAGGGAGGAGAAAAAGUCCGGGUCUCACCUGGGAUUCUCUGUCUCCUGCAACAUGAAGGAUUUAGCCUGGGAGGAGGUGGUGAGAACUCUGGGAGAGAAAAAAGAAGGAAAGAAUAGUUUUACCCAUGCUGAAGUUAAUUUAAACCUUCACCUAGAGAAGCAAAAAAAAAAAACCCACACUUUCCCAUUUUGUGCCUCCCUUCCUAGAGUUUUAGCCAAAGGUUUAGCUAAGUAAUUGGUUUUACCAGCGCACUCACUCCUCCUAUCCCAAGUCUGUUUGACUCCCUCCCCAUCAUCCUCCUCACCUCUUUUCAGGCAGGGUGGGGAUAGCAGCAGGAGGAGAUUUUGGGAGCCUGGCAACUCCUGCAAGGACCGCAGGACAGCCCCUCUGUGGGGAUGCGUGGUGCCCCAUCUGCCGCCCUUCUGAAGAAUGCACUGCCUUCACUUUUUACUGUGUUAGAGUCCAUCCAGACUGUUCUAUCCAAAAAAGUUUCUUUUUCCCCCACAGGCAAUCAGGAAAUGAUUCCUUUCCCGACUGCUUCUGUCUAGUGCCUGGGAAUCUUGAGUCAAUCCCUCAGUAAGUCAGUGACUAGGGAAAUCCCUCUCUGAGCCUCCCAGUUCAUGUUGCUUAGGGAACCUGAUAUUUUCGUGAAACCUGCCUACACAUGGGCAGCCCAACAGCAGAACAAAUGGUGGUGACCAAAGUGAACAAAGAAGUAUAGUUGUGCCAGCUUCGUAGUUGCCCAUGUGGACAAGUCAGCAGGAUCAGGACACGAGGAAGAGUAAAUGUGAGACAGUCAAUGUGACUUCUGCGAUAAACAGAUUUUUAAACCCCGAAAUUUUGCAAAAUUUUGGUGAAACCUGAACUUUCUUCGUUGCAUAUACUGGCACUAUCUGUACCAUCAUACAACUGUCUCACAUUAAAGCUAUUUUUCUUGGGCACUGAUGAGUAAGGUUGGUAUAAGUUCCUCAGAUCAACAAAAACCCAUUUUCCUGUAAGUCUUACAUUUAGUAUUUAAGGAACUAAAACUUAAAUACAUUUUGUGAAAUGGUUGACACUUCACUGAUAAUGAUUUAUUGCUUGGAUUAAUAAAUUUUCCAAAAGUUGUCUUAUGUAGAAUAUGGUUUGCAACCAGCAGAACCAUUAAUCUAUACUGCAAUGAUAUGCACUAUGUAUAAUUGUUUAAAAGCCUCUACUUAAUGAUGUAAAAUGCUCUAUUUAAUUACACAUUUGGGUAAACUGUAUACUAACAUCUGAUGGCAUUUUUCCACUGUUUGUUGCUUUUUUCAAAUACUUUAUUGUACAAAGCUGUUCUUAAUAUUUUUCAAGUUUUUUUCUUUGAAUUUUGCUAAUGUUUUCCUUGAAUUAUGAGCACUGACAGAAUGUGCUUAGCACUUUUGGCUAUUCACACAGCUUUUGAGCAUGAUUUGCAUCCAAUAUUUACAUUGCUAGCAAUAAUAAGCCAUCUGUGAGUUUUGUCAAAAGUUAUUGGGGAUUUUUUAAAUUUUAGAAAUGCAAAUUAUUGUUUCUUUGAACUAACUCUUAUGCAGUUGCAAAGGCAUUUCCAGUUGUUAUAGUUUGUGUACAAUAUCAGGUGUUCCAGAUUAUGAUUCAUUAUUAAUAUCAUUGCUUCCUUGUUCCCUCUGAGGUCCAGAAGAUUCAUGUUUACAAUAUUUAGAAACAAUGUUAAAAAGGUAUCCAAAGUUUGUCACUUUAUUAUUAGUUUGUUCUUAAUAUUCUGUUUAAGUUUUUGAAUUCAUAGAUAUCAAAACGCUGCACAAUUAUGAUUUCCACAGGAAUAACAACACACUAACAAUAAGAACCAAAAACAGCAAAUAGGCUGCCUACAAGUUUUGACAAUAUUAGGAUAAUGAUAAUGACAGUUUUUCUAAAUCUCACAGUAAAGAAUGCAGCAACCCAGCAACACUGCUACCUGUGGCCUCAGGCUGCAGUGUCAGCUCUUCCCUGGGUCUCCAGCCUGCCAGUCUAACCUGAAAAUUAUGUACUUGCCAGCCCCCACAGUCACGUGAGUGAACUGGCCCAGGCUGGUCACCAGGGUCAGUUUCUCUGUGUGUCAUUAAUUCAUUCAGUCUUCAGCAGUCUCUUUGGAGCUGAGAUGUACCUACCAUCUGCCUUUUGGGUGCUUAGGGUGGAGAACCAGAAAAGUAUAACCUAGUGUGUAUCCUCAAAGAGCUAACAAUAUGGGGUGGUACCUAUAGGUCUGGAAACACUUUACUGACUCUGUGAGGCAUACCAGGAGACGUCAGAGAACAGUCCCUCCUCAAAUGCCAAAUGAGAUGCAGAAGAAAUAGUUUGCUCAAGUUCAUGGGCCAGAUAUCCCAGUGGUCAGGGAGUUUCAUGAAUGAGAUGGAACUUUGCAUGGAACCCGAGGGAUGUGUAUGAUUUGAGUAGAUGAAGAAAAUGAGACUUUCCAAGCAGCUAGAAGUUAGGGAGCAGCAAGAUGUGUGGUGGGAUUGAGCACAGUUGGUUCAGAGGAUAGACUGCAGUUUUAAUAAUUUGUAGUAAAUAUCUCCCAACUGUUUGGCACUAUUGGAGCAAGUUCUUGAAUGCCAAAUGAAGGCAUAAAUCAGUAAGAGGCAUAAUAAAAGGCUGAGCAGUGCUUGGCUUUUUACGAACUGAUCCUGAUAGGAGCAGCUGUUCAACAAAGUUGCCAGGUCACCGUUACAUAGUCCCUGCCUUCUAGGGGCUCACUGCCUACUGGGAGAGACAGUCUGAAAGUUGGUGGAGCAUGUAACUGUUGGAUGAGGACUUUGAGCCUGUGGACUGUGGGACCCCCGAGGAGGGUGUGGCUACUCUAGGCAGAACAAUCCCACAGUUUAUUUAUAUUUAACCUUGAAAUUCAUUAGAGGAUUUUUCAGCAGAGGUUUGGUACUUGUUAAUGUUAAGGUUUGCAUUCUCUAGAACCUCAAGGAAAGCUGUACCGUGCAUAAUGUACCCUCUUAUGUUAAUGUUGUGUACUGUGAUCCUGUUUCAGGGACUUGCACUUAGGAAUCUGUUACAGUGAGCACAGAAGCAGACCUGUGGGCUCAUAGUCUUCACCCCCCACCCAUAUAUACAAGAUGAACAGAGUGGAGGUUAAACAACUUGACUAAACAACACAGUUCAUGGUAAAGCCCAAGACUGUACCUGCCCAUCCACUGCCUUUUCCAUGUAUCCUGGAACUGAGCAUAGACCUCUUCCCAGGCAGAGCUGACAGCAAGUAAAGGAGAUCAUAAUCAGGGGACCAAACAACUUUGUCUAAAGUGUGAAUGUCACCUAAGGAGAAGCUGUGAGAUCAGAAGGGUGGGGCAGAGGAGCAGACACCAUGAGGGAGAGUCCUUGGGGGUACAUCUGCCAGACUGACACUGUCUGGCCUGGGCAGUGGAGGGGCUAGCAGGAACCACAGGUACUGGUGGUGUGGCUACUACCGUUACAACUGCCUGUGCUUGGACAUGGACCCUCUGCAAUAUGCGGCAGUUUCAUUCAUUGCCCCCUACAUUCUACACCAAGUAGAAAUGGAAGGCAAUUGGAUACUUCACAGACAAGAUCUAAGUGGAGAAGGAAUGCGUCCUGUGGCUGCAGAGAUCCUUGGAGCUUGGAGGGGAGAGCUUGAGCCCCACUGAUGAUGACCUCCCACAGCUCGCCAACUCAGCCCUCCCUAAGUCCCCAUCGGGGGCCAAUUCUCACUCUGGGGUUGGGGGGACUCCACCAUAGCUCAUCCAUCAUAGGGAUGUUGGUAUCUACUGUGGGUUGGGUAGGGCCGAUGUGCUGAGGAUGGCUCCCCCACAAGCAAGAGAUGUGGAUUUGGGGAGCUUCCCAUCUUGUGUUGAAGGAACAUAACUCAGAAUAAUAAGAGCCAACUAUAACAAACCCACAGCCAACAUCAUACUGAAUGGGCAAAAGCUGCAGGCAUUCCCCUUGAAAAGUGGCACAGGAUAAGGAAGCCCUUUCUCACCACUCCUAUUCAAUAUAGUGUUGAAAGUCCUGAUCACAGCAGUCAGGCAACAGAAAUAAUAAAGGGCAUCCAAAUAGGAAGAGAGGAAGUCAAACUAUCCUUGUUUGCAGACAGUAUGAUUCUAUAUCUAGAAAACCCCAUAGCCUCAGCCCAAAAGGUCCUUCAUCUGAUAAUUUCAGCAAAGUUUCAGGAGACAAAAUCAGUGUACAAAAAUCACUAACAUUCCUAUACACAGUCGCCAAGCCAAGAGCCAAAUCAGGAGCACAAUCCCAUUCAUAAUUGCCACAAAAAAGAAUAAAAUACCCAGGAAUGCAGCUAACCAAGGAAGUAAAGGAUCUCUACAAUGAGAAUCACAAACGCUGCUCAAAGAAAUCAGAGAUGACACAAACAAAUGGAAAAACUUUCCAUGCUCAUGGCUAGGAAGAAUCAAUAUCAUUAAAGUGGCCAUACUACCCAAAGCAAUUUAUAGAUUCAAUGCUAUUCCUAUCAAACUAUCAAUUACAUUUUUCACAGAACUAGAAAAAACUUAAAAUUCAUAUGGAACCAAAAAGCCUGAGUAGUCAAGGCAAUCCUAAACAAAAAGAACAAAGGUGGAGGCAUCACAUUACCUAACUUCAAACUACAGGGCUACCAUGACCAAAACAGCAUGGUACUGGUACAAAAGCAGACACACAGACCAGUGGGACAGAAUAGAGAGCCCAAAAAUAAGGCCACAAACCUACAGCCAUCUGAUCUUCAACAAAGUUGACAAAAACAAGCAAUGGGGAAAGGUCUCCCUAUUCAAUAAAUGGUGCUGGGAUAACUGGCUGGCCAUAUGCAGAAGAUCGUAACUGGACCCCUUUUACUAUGUACAAAAAUUAAGAUGGUUUAAAGAGUUAAAACCCAAAAUUAUAAAAAUCCUGAAGAUAACUUAGGCAAUACCAUUCUGGACAUAGGAACUGGCAAAUAUUUCAUGAUGAAGACACCAAAAGCAAUUGUAACAAAAGCAAAAAUGGACAAAUUGGAUUUAAGAGCUUUUUCAUAGCAAAAUAAACAACAGGGCAGACAAUCUACCAAAUGACAGAAAAUUUUUGCAAACUAUGCAUCUGACAAGGGGCUAAUAUCUAGCAUCUAUAAGGAAUUUAAACACAGUUACAGG